rnacentral:rRNA from 1 species
CUCCAGACUCCUACGGGAGGCAGCAGUGGGGGAUAUUGCACAAUGGGGGGAACCCUGAUGCAGCGACGCCGCGUGGGUGAAGAAGCGCCUCGGCGCGUAAAGCCCUUUCAGCAGGGAAGAAAAUGACGGUACCUGAAGAAGAAGCCCCGGCUAACUACGUGCCAGCAGCCGCGGUAAUACGUAGGGGGCAAGCGUUAUCCGGAUUUACUGGGUGUAAAGGGGGCGCAGACGGCGAUGCAAGCCAGGAGUGAAAGCCCGGGGCCCAACCCCGGGACUGCUCUUGGAACUGCAUGGCUGGAGUACAGGAGGGGCAGGCGGAAUUCCUAGUGUAGCGGUGAAAUGCGUAGAUAUUAGGAGGAACACCAGUUGCGAAGGCGGCUCUCUGGACUGUAACUGACACUGAGGCACGAAAGCGUGGGGAGCAAACAGGAUUAGAUACCCGCGUA